rnacentral:rRNA from 1 species
GACGAACGCUGGCGGCGUGCUUAACACAUGCAAGUCGAACGGAAAGGCCCUGCUUUUGUGGGGUGCUCGAGUGGCGAACGGGUGAGUAACACGUGAGUAACCUGCCCUUGACUUUGGGAUAACUUCAGGAAACUGGGGCUAAUACCGGAUAGGAGCUCCUGCUGCAUGGUGGGGGUUGGAAAGUUUCGGCGGUUGGGGAUGGACUCGCGGCUUAUCAGCUUGUUGGUGGGGUAGUGGCUUACCAAGGCUUUGACGGGUAGCCGGCCUGAGAGGGUGACCGGCCAAAUGGGGACUGAGAGAAGGCACAGAGGCGUAAGGGAGGCAGAAGGGGGGAAGAGGGAACAAUGGGCGGAAGCAGGAUGCAGAAACGCCGCGUGAGGGAUGAAGGCGUUAGGGGGGGAAAACGAGGUGGCCUGUGACGAAGCGGGAGUGACGGUAAGGGGGAAAGAAGAAACGGCUAACGACGUG